AACACACUUUAGGAAUUACUGCCCUAAGCCUCGCAAUUACUACAAACAAUUUUUUAAAAUCCUAUUCCUUAAAAUCAUCCAUCUAAUCAGGUAUUCAGUUUUCAUAUUGUCCUUUCUCUUCAGCAUUAUGACCUUUGAUAUGUAAGAAGAGAUUAAAAGAUUAUCUUUGUUUUCUGUUCAUUCCAUCUUCUACCUACUAAAAAAUUCACUCGUUUUCCAAUUUUUUUUUCCUGAAUAGUCAACCACACUUUGGGGAACAUAAGAAGGUGUGGAUGUGUCCACCUAGAAUUAGCUCAUUUAGGAAAUCCACUUCUCUUAUUCCGAAAAAAUACUGCCCAGCAUGCUGAGUCUGGUUGGGACCAACCCUGCCCAGGGAUGAAAAAGACAGGAGUACUCUACCUACCUUCAGUGAGGGUUGCACACAUGAAGCAAAGCAAAAUAGAUUCAUCUCUGAAGUUCUGUACUCAGGAAAAAAAGAAAGAAGGAAGGAAGGAAAAGAAAAGAAUCUUGGUUUGCUUGCAAACUGCAAGCUAUGAAAACAAGGCAGUUAUUUUAUUUUCAGCAGUCAUCAUAUUCAUAUUCUUUUUUUGCCAAGGAAAGUUUGAGUUAAUUUUUAUCUCAGGCAACUGAAAAAGUCAUAACACAUGCAUUAUAGUUAUUAGCAAAGCAUUAAGGAUUACUAGAGUUCACACUUACCCAAACAAUACCCAACAUGAUUACAUAUUUCUCCGUUUUAGAGGAGGUCCUAAAUUCCUAUAGAAACAGUGAUAACUAGCUUUCUUGUCUUGUUCCACUUCUCUCUCCUCCAGAAACUGCAUUUGCAAAUACAAGGCGUUUUCUUCAGAGGAUGGGGAAACGGAAGCCUAAAAACUGGAGUCCCUUGCUCAAAGUCAGAGGGCUAGAAAAAGGCACAACCAGUGUUAAUUGUAGGGUAGAUAUCUUCUCCCAACCACGACAAGGCCUUCAGUAGGACAUGGGCCAACCAAACCAUAAAUACACACAGGCCGAGCCCCUAUUAAAUUCAAGGUUCUCUGCUGAAGGAGACUGAACAGAAGUAUGAGCCAUUCUUCCCAGACUCAAAGAGACAGAUGGCAAAACUGGGUUCCUACUAGAGAUGCUCUUCUUACUCAUCUGACCAUCCCUGUCACCAUCAAUUCCCAGUAUCAUAUUCUAACAGUUGAAGUACAGCGAAUAUUUCUGCCUACAAAGAAUUUACAAUUCACUUCGGGAGUAAGAGCAAGGAGCAGACACGACAGGCAAAUGAGCUCGCGAUGAACUCUCCAUCCCAAUGUCUCUACCUGCCCUGCUAUUCAUCUUCUGCAGUCUACACAGAACUCUUUCUCCUUCAAAGCAAGCUCUAGGGUUACGGAAGAAAAAUCAGGUGCAACGAACAGGAACCACUUCACUUGUUAGCCAAGAAGAUGUUGGAGAUGCUGAAAAAUGAAAAGUUAGGGCAUCGUGUAAUCCAGCCUCAGGCUGGCCUUUGAGUUGAAUGUCUUAAAGGUCCUAUCAGACAGUGAUGCCCAGUGUUUAAUGCCUUGAUCACCCACAUUUCACUUGUGAGUUUCUGAGGACUCCCUGACUGAGAAAAACAAUGUAUUACCAUGCGAGAUGGAAUGGAUGCUAUUUAUUUUCACUUUUUAAGGGAGACAGCUGAAAGAUAUCUUGUUCAAAGGAAGGCAAAAGACAAUCACGUGUCACGGGCUCAAGGUAAGCCAGCUGGCACUACCAGCCAUGCCAAGCAGGCUACCAAUUUAUAAUUCAAAUGUUGGAAAGGUUUAUCAUUUGUAUGUUCAA